rnacentral:rRNA from 1 species
UACGUAGGGUGCGAGCGUUAAUCGGAAUUACUGGGCGUAAAGUGUGCGCAGGUGGCCGCGCAAGUCGAGUGUGAAAUCCCCGAGCUUAACUUGGGAAUUGCGCUCGAAACUACGUGGCUAGAGUGUGGCAGAGGGAGGUGGAAUUCCACGUGUAGCGGUGAAAUGCGUAGAGAUGUGGAGGAACACCAAUGGCGAAGGCAGCCUUCUGGGCCAACACUGACGCUCAUGCACGAAAGCGUGGGGAUCAAACAGG